rnacentral:lncRNA from 1 species
AACCUGACACUGUUCAGCUUUUUUAUCUUUUACCAGUAUUUGGGGACUUAUUGGGGAUUCCUUUGAUAAUUUCAGGAAGAAAGAAGUGGAAUGGAAGGAGCCAGUAACUGUCCCAGGUCAGAAAACGCCUCUGAAAAGGAUCUACAUUACACCCAAAGUUCAUUGGAUAACUGCACCCUCAACAAUCAGGAGACAAUAAGUGGUGUAGACAGAGCUAAUAUCUCCAAAUCAGAGCUAAUAUCCCCAAAUCAGAUGGUACCUCUGAAGACAUUCAGCAUUCCACAGACUGUUCACAGGUUGAGACUUUCCACAUUCAGGAGACAAUAAGUGGUACGAACCAAGCCAGUAACUGCCCCAAAUCAGAUGGUGCCUCUGAAGACAAUCAGCAUUGCACAGACAGUCCACAGCAUGACAGUAUCUUCCACAUUCAGGAGACAAUAAAGGGUACGAACCAAGCCAGUAACUGCCCCAAAUCAGAUGGUGCCUCUGAAGACAAUCAGCAUUGCACAGACAGUUCACAGCAUGACAGUAUCUUCCACAUUCAGGAGACAAUAAAGGGUAUGAACCAAGCCAGUAACUGCCCCAAAUCAGAUGGUGCCUCUGAAGACAAUCAGCAUUGCACAGACAGUCCACAGCAUGACAGUAUCUUCCACAUUCAGGAGACAAUAAAGGGUACAAACCAAGCCAGUAACUGCCCCAAAUCAGAUGGUGCCUCUGAAGACAAUCAGCAUUGCACAGACAAUUCACAGCAUGACAGUAUCUUCCACAUUCAGGUAUGAUACUGCUCUUUUUUAUGUGUUUUAAUUACAAUAUACGUUUAGUCCCCACAAUGUGCAAUGUGCAUGAU